ensembl:lncRNA
UCCAGGUCAUAGGGAGACCUUACUAACUAGGAUCCCACGGUGGGGGUUCCUCGUGUCCCCCACUAUUGGUUUCUCUGGAAUGGAGUUCGAGCACCAGCUGCCCGAAGCAAACUUCAGGGCUUUGCCAAGAUCCUCCAAAAUGGAUAAAUGAAUGAAUUAAUCAACAAGUGACUGGAGUGUAGAUAUCAUGGCAGGAAGAUAGCUGGGAAAUGGCAUUGUUGGCCAAGCUCACCAAUCAGAACCCAGGAUCCCAAAGUGGCUUUUGGCAUGAAGAUAGGAAAAAGCAUAAUUUAAAACCGAAAUGUCAGCAGGAGCUCCUGUGAUCGCUACAGCAAAAUGAAGAUGAUAUGUGAUCAGCUUGGCUUGGAAAACAUAGUGGCUAAGAAUUCUUCCAUGGUGAUGUGAAUAAAUUUGCUGUCUAG